ACACCAAACACACCUUCAUUCUGAAAUGUUGGUGCUACAUAGCUCCUCGACCACGCUUGAACCAUCUUAGUGCACGUGUGGAUCACAAUGAGUUGGAUGAAACCGCAAUGACACGAUGAUUUUGUUGAAAUCUAUAGUGUAGUUUUUGUCAAAAAUCAAAAGCACAACAGCAUAACAUGAUUCUACAAAACUUGUGCCAGCUGGCCACAAAACUCGAUAAACAGAAUAUGUACGUAAUUACUAAAUAUAAAAUGUAUUUUCUAAGUAUAUUUUCAUCAAUUUUCACUACAUGUAGAUUUAUUAACUAUCUCCAAUCUCUGACCACAACAGGGUUUCAGAAGAACCAGUGCCAAUCUAUUGGAGCCACAAGCACUCUAUCUAAACUCGGUAAUAUAUCUGUCAUAUUUAAUUAUUUUUCUAUAAUGAAAUUUCUUAGGG
rnacentral:lncRNA from 1 species